rnacentral:rRNA from 1 species
GAGAAGCUUGCGGCUGAUUAGCUUGUUGGUAGGGUAAUGGCCUACCAAGGCGACGAUCAGUAUCUGGUUUGAGAGGACGAUCAGACACACUGGAACUGAGACACGGUCCAGACUCCUACGGGAGGCAGCAGUAGGGAAUUUUCCGCAAUGGGCGAAAGCCUGACGGAGCAAUACCGCGUGAGGGAUGACUGCCUAUGGGUUGUAAACCUCUUUUUUCAGGGAGGAAUAAAUGACGUGUACCUGAAGAAUAAGCAUCGGCUAACUCCGUGCCAGCAGCCGCGGUAAGACGGAGGAUGCAAGUGUUAUCCGGAAUCACUGGGCGUAAAGCGUCUGUAGGUGGCUCGACAAGUCAACUGUUAAAUCUUGAAGCUCAACUUCAAAAUCGCAGUCGAAACUAUCGGACUAGAGUAUAGUAGAGGUAAAGGGAAUUUCCAGUGGAGCGGUGAAAUGCGUAGAGAUUGGAAAGAACACCGAUGGCGAAGGCACUUUACUGGGCUAUUACUGACACUCAGAGACGAAAGCUAGGGUAGCAAAUGGGAUUAGAU